rnacentral:rRNA from 1 species
AUUGAACGCUGGCGGCAUGCCUUACACAUGCAAGUCGAACGGCAGCACGGGAGCAAUCCUGGUGGCGAGUGGCGAACGGGUGAGUAAUAUAUCGGAACGUGCCCAGUCGUGGGGGAUAACGUAGCGAAAGCUACGCUAAUACCGCAUACGAUCUAUGGAUGAAAGCGGGGGAUCGCAAGACCUCGCGCGAUUGGAGCGGCCGAUAUCAGAUUAGGUAGUUGGUGAGGUAAAGGCUCACCAAGCCGACGAUCUGUAGCUGGUCUGAGAGGACGACCAGCCACACUGGGACUGAGACACGGCCCAGACUCCUACGGGAGGCAGCAGUGGGGAAUUUUGGACAAUGGGCGCAAGCCUGAUCCAGCAAUGCCGCGUGCAGGAUGAAGGCCUUCGGGUUGUAAACUGCUUUUGUACGGAACGAAACGGCGAGCUCUAAUACAGUUUGCUAAUGACGGUACCGUAAGAAUAAGCACCGGCUAACUACGUGCCAGCCGCCGCAGUAAGAC